rnacentral:rRNA from 1 species
UACGGGGGGGGCAAGCGUUGUUCGGAAUUACUGGGCGUAAAGGGCUCGUAGGCGGCCAACUAAGUCAGACGUGAAAUCCCUCGGCUUAACCGGGGAACUGCGUCUGAUACUGGAUGGCUUGAGAUUGGGAGAGGGAUGCGGAAUUCCAGGUGUAGCGGUGAAAUGCGUAGAUAUCUGGAGGAACACCGGUGGCGAAGGCGGCUGGCUGGACGGGCUCUGACGCUGAGGUACGAAAGCGUGGGGACCAAACAGG